rnacentral:rRNA from 1 species
UACAGAGGUCCCGAGCGUUGUUCGGAUUCAUUGGGCGUAAAGGGUGCGUAGGCGGCCGCCUAAGUUUGAUGUGAAAUCCCGGGGCUCAACCCUGGAAUUGCAUUGAAUACUGGGUGGCUAGAGUACUGGAGAGGAAACUGGAAUUUACGGUGUAGCAGUGAAAUGCGUAGAGAUCGUAAGGAAGACCAGUGGCGAAGGCGAGUUUCUGGACAGUUACUGACGCUGAGGCACGAAGGCCAGGGGAGCAAACGGG